rnacentral:rRNA from 1 species
CCUACGGGAGGCUGCAGUGGGGAAUAUUGCACAAUGGGCGCAAGCCUGAUGCAGCCAUGCCGCGUGUGUGAAGAAGGCCUUCGGGUUGUAAAGCACUUUCAGCGGGGAGGAAGGCGGUGAGGUUAAUAACCUCAUCGAUUGACGUUACCCGCAGAAGAAGCACCGGCUAACUCCGUGCCAGCAGCCGCGGUAAUACGGAGGGUGCAAGCGUUAAUCGGAAUUACUGGGCGUAAAGCGCACGCAGGCGGUCUGUCAAGUCGGAUGUGAAAUCCCGGGGCUCAACCUGGGAACUGCAUUCGAAAAUGGCGGGCUAGAGUCUUGUAGAGGGGGGUAGAAUUCCAGGUGUAGCGGUGAAAUGCGUAGAGAUCUGGAGGAAUACCGGUGGCGAAGGCGGCCCCAUGGACAAAGACUGACGCUCAGGUCCGAUAGCGUGGGGAGCAAACAGGAUUAGAUACCCUUGUAGUC